GUGAUUAAAUCGAGCGUGUCCUCAUUGACCGCUCACCCUUCUCACCACCCACAUACACCUGUGCACUGUUUAGCCUGAGCCGGUUUUCCGGUCCAGGUUAUCAUUUCAUACAAACUCUAGUCUUAUGAAUGUAAACGUUUUAAUAACAUAAUA
rnacentral:misc_RNA from 1 species